GUGCCUGUAGUGCAAUAGAAUGCGCGCGUUGGACUUCUACUCCAAAGGUAGUGGGUUCAAAUCCCGCCUGGUAUG